UACGGGGGGAGCAAGCGUUGUUCGGAUUUACUGGGCGUAAAGGGCGCGUAGGCGGCCAGCACACGUCAGUUGUGAAAUCUCCGAGCUUAACUCGGAAAGGUCAACUGAUACUGUGCGGCUAGAGUGCGGAAGGGGCAACUGGAAUUCUUGGUGUAGCGGUGAAAUGCGUAGAUAUCAAGAGGAACACCUGCGGCGAAGGCGGGUUGCUGGGCCGACACUGACGCUGAGGCGCGAAAGCCAGGGGAGCGAACAGG
rnacentral:rRNA from 1 species